rnacentral:rRNA from 1 species
CGGGUAGAGUAACACGUAAACAACCUGCCUUCAGGAUGGGGACAACAGACGGAAACGACUGCUAAUACCGAAUAAGUUCCAAGAGCCGCAUGGCCCAUGGAAGAAAAGGUGGCCUCUACCUGUAAGCUAUCGCCUGAAGAGGGGUUUGCGUCUGAUUAGCUGGUUGGAGGGGUAACGGCCCACCAAGGCGACGAUCAGUAGCCGGUCUGGGAGGAUGAACGGCCACACUGGAACUGAGACACGGUCCAGACUCCUACGGGAGGCAGCAUG